rnacentral:misc_RNA from 1 species
GUUAUAGUUGCAACACACACCCUUCUUUUUUAAAUAGGACCGUUGAAUUUAAUGCAGCUGGUAAUUUGUUACAAUUAUGAAGUCUUGAGCACGUGAACAGAAAAGUUGAUGGGUCCUCGUCCGAUCGAUAAGCUUAUGUUUACAGGUUUGUACUGGCUUGUUACGUCGUCGAUUGGAAGAAAAUGGGUCCAGUCCCAUAUCGUGGACAAUUCUCCAUAAUAUGGUUGAUGGUGGACUGGUAUCAGACGUGCUUAAAUUUUGAACACAUCUUUUUGUCAAGGCUGAAUGAAUCUUUCUUCUUUUAGUAGUCUUGGGUCUUGUCUUGUUUCCAGUUUGAAUUGAAACCACGAUGAUGUUUGCUAAAUUUUACGCAUUAUUUGUUAACUUAAAAUUAUUUUAUUUUAUUUUUUUUAACCAUGAAAAAUCCACAGGUAUCACUUUAGCAGCUGCCACAAUAAAGUACAUAAGCUGUUCUUACAACUACAUGGAAUGCCGCUAUGCGUUUACAAACAUCUAAGGGGAGAUUUGAAGUGGCAGCAGUUCUCAGGUCCGGCGAAAUGCUUUGUGUUACAAGGCCUUUGAAUUUCUCAAUCAUCAGUUGAAAUAGACUGCAGCCACUAGAAAUACUUUGAGGUACAAGCCUUUGGGUUUCUAAAUCAUCUAUCAGCCAAAAUGCAAUCUGCUGGCUCUGCACAUAAGUUACAUUAUACUAUAACCAUGUACAUACCACAAUAACAUGAUGUCACCACAAUUAUUUUAUUUUUGUGUUAUAAAAAGUCUUAUUUAUUUUAGCUGAUAUCUAAUUGAUUUUCAGUUAUCAAGUCUCAUUGAGGAUAUGGCUAUGGUGCACUCAGCAGAAAGGAGGGCUGAGGAUGCGCGCUGUGAUUUUACAGGAGAGUUAGUUGAUCGUGAUAAAAGAAAAGUGAGAGGGUUGUGGGUACUACAAAGAGGCAUGGGGAGAGGAGGGUGAGUCAUGGGCCACAAUUAGGAGAAUUUAUACAUGUCAUUUCUGUUAUUUCACGAAGAAUAAUUUAUAUGAAAUGGUGAGUUAAGAUAUAAUCAAAAGAUUAUUAAGUAUACUUAACGUAUAUAUAUCAUCUUUUUUUAUUAUAUAAAUUCACUCUUCAUAUUAUAACAAGGGUCUUACUUUUUUGUGAG